UGCCAGAAACAUGAUAUUGUUAUCAACUUAACCUCAACCUCUAGUUGCAAAGCUUUUAUCACUCCGUUGUGUAUGUGGUAGAUAACGAAAAAAAAAAAUAUUUUUUUCAUGUUUUUAAAUUAAAUUUUGUUCAGAUUGAUUCUGUUGCAAACUAUACUCAUCGCUUAAACAUUCAUGUUUUGCAGUUAAUAGUUUAGGUAUUAUACCAAGUAUUUAAAAAAGGUUAUGUUUUAUGGGAGGGUAAUUGAGAACAACAGGAUUUUUUUUUUAAUUUUUCAGAUUUUCAUGAACAUUGUUCCAUUGGUUACUCAUUCAUCAUUUAUUGACACAUUUGUAUGCCAUAUUUAACGCUUUGUUUGUACUUAAUUAUUAUCAUAUUAUUGUACCCUCUACUGUUUUGCAAAAAAAUACACAAAUGUGACUUCUAUUUUUGUCACAAUUUAACUCACGUGUAAUUUAAAAUUACAUGAUACAUGUAUUUUUUCUGAACAAAUUAAAUGAUGCAUUUGGGGUUUAUUCCACUAUUUACAAAAAGUAUCAAAACAGCGUGUUGUCGACAAAGUAAAAUUAUUUCCGCGAUUUCGCAAAUGUACCAAAUGUCCCCAGUUCCCCUAAAGAACGUUCCAAAAAGAUAUCAGUGUGUAUGUAAUCUUUUAACGUUAACAUUUCAAUGAGUGAUGGUCAAUUGACGUAUAAAUACAGCUAAUACGCGACUUUUGCAGCCAUUAAUUUUCUUCACACGAACGUGAGCGCACUUCAGCUGAUUAUUUGCCAUGUUGAAGCCGACAUUAUCGCUGCUCCUGUUGGGGCUACUCUGUCUCCACCUUGCCACCGCUCGCCCACAACCCGACCCUUCGCCUGACAAUGACCAGCAGCAACCACCGGCCCGCUCUGGAUCUCACACAUCUGACAGUAACAACCGCGACUGUAAAUUAAUUUUCUUCUGUAAUGAUGGAGCUUUAAUUCAGUGGGGUAAUCAUAAUUCGGGAUAAAAUGAAGUUAUGUGACGACACGUAAAUGCCGUUUUACUGUCGGGUUUCUCGAUUCUGUUCAUUAAUUUCAUUGUAUGUUAUGAAGCAAACAUGAUGUAAUUCAAUUUGUUCUUAAUAAAUAUAGUAAAUAAAACGUACGUAUCAAUUUAUUACCCAGAUCCCAGACUGCAAGAUAAAUACAAGAACGUUUUUGAGUGCAUCAAGCAUACAAUUAAUUUGCGCUUUACAUUACUUGAUCCAGAAAAUAUCAAUAUUUGAUAAUUAUUAUUAGUUGUACUUGCACACUAUAUAAAAAGGUCAAAUACGGCGUUCUCUGAAAACAAUUUCCUUUGGCAGAAUUAAUCUUUGAGUUCCUAAGAUGUACCUAUUUAAGAAGUGGAGCCACCUAGAUUUUUUAUGCAGGUGGGGGGGGGGGGGGAGGGUGUUGCAGCGUCGGCGACGUAUGAGGAUAAUAAAUUGUUUAAGUUUAGGAGCUAAGUCAAAUUUGAUAUAAUUUUCAACU